rnacentral:rRNA from 1 species
UACGUAGGGACCGAGCGUUAUCCGGAUUCAUUGGGCGUAAAGAGCUCGUAGGCGGCUAUUCAAGUCGAACGUGAAAUCUCGGAGCUCAACUCCGAGCCUGCGUUCGAUACUGGGUAGCUAGAGUCUGGUAGGGGGAUCUGGAAUUCCUGGUGUAGCGGUGGAAUGCGCAGAUAUCAGGAGGAACACCGGUGGCGAAGGCGGGAUCCUGGGCCAGUACUGACGCUGAGGAGCGAAAGCGUGGGGAGCGAACAGG